CACGCCCAGGUCCACGCAGAACUACCAGACUCGACCCCAGACCGCCAGAGAGGAGGAGGGGGAGUCACGAGAGUGGGUUUUUCCUUCCCAGAAACCGGACAGUUUGUCUUAAAGAACUGGACCUUCAGGGUCUUGUGGUUACUGGCAACAUCUUUCUGAAAUGCCAGUCACAGGCCUUCAUGAGAUUGUGUUGCUGACUUCAGGAAUGUUUGGACUGGGCUGGAGUGGCCAAAACAUGUUCUGAGAGCUCCUGCUAAAAACUGGGCACAUCAAUUCCAUGAGAAAUGAGAAGUGGCCAUUUUCUGGCUUCCAAAGAAACAUCAGAAACAAGGGAGGAAAAAAAUGCCCAAACAAUGACGGUGCCCGUGGACUUCCCUUUGAAGCUGACAGUCCUGUUUUAAUCCAUGAGACCCCGAUCCUCGGCCUCUCUGGGGGGUUAAAACAUCGCGUCCAGAAAACCCCAGGUUAGAAUGCGGUUGUUGUGUGCA